rnacentral:rRNA from 1 species
GUGGGGAAUAUUGCACAAUGGGCGCAAGCCUGAUGCAGCCAUGCCACGUGUGUGAAGAAGGCCUUCGGGUUGUAAAGCACUUUCAGCGGGGAGGAAGGCGUUAAGGUUAAUAACCUUGGCGAUUGACGUUACCCGCAGAAGAAGCACCGGCUAACUCCGUGCCAGCAGCCGCGGUAAUACGGAGGGUGCAAGCGUUAAUCGGAAUUACUGGGCGUAAAGCGCACGCAGGCGGUCUGUCAAGUCGGAUGUGAAAUCCCCGGGCUCAACCUGGGAACUGCAUUCGAAACUGGCAGGCUAGAGUCUUGUAGAGGGGGGUAGAAUUCCAGGUGUAGCGGUGAAAUGCGUAGAGAUCUGGAGGAAUACCGGUGGCGAAGGCGGCUUACUGGACUGUAACUGACGCUGAGGCGCGAAAGUGUGGGGAGCAAACAGGAUUAGAUACCCUGGUAGUCC